UACCUUCGGGAAAUUCAAUAAAAUUGAAACGAUACAGAGAAGAUUAACAUGAUACUUGUGCAAGGAUGAUACGCACAAAUCGAGAAAUGGUUCAAACUUUU